rnacentral:rRNA from 1 species
AGAGUUUGAUCCUGGCUCAGACUGAACGCUGGCGGCAUGCCUUACACAUGCAAGUCGAACGGCAGCACGGGUGCUUGCACCUGGUGGCGAGCGGCGAACGGGUGAGUAAUAUAUCGGAACGUACCUUAUCGUGGGGGAUAACGCAGCGAAAGCUGCGCUAAUACCGCAUACGCCCUGAGGGGGAAAGCGGGGGACCGUAAGGCCUCGCGCGAUUAGAGCGGCCGAUAUCUGAUUAGCUUGUUGGUGGGGUAAAAGCCCACCAAGGCGACGAUCAGUAGCUGGUCUGAGAGGACGAUCAGCCACACUGGGACUGAGACACGGCCCAGACUCCUACGGGAGGCAGCAGUGGGGAAUUUUGGACAAUGGGGGCAACCCUGAUCCAGCAAUGCCGCGUGAGUGAAGAAGGCCUUCGGGUUGUAAAGCUCUUUUGUCAGGGAAGAAACAGCAGCUCUAACACAGUCUGCGAAUGACGGUACCUGAAGAAUAAGCACCGGCUAACUACGUGCCAGCAGCCGCGGUAAUACGUAGGGUGCAAGCGUUAAUCGGAAUUACUGGGCGUAAAGCGUGCGCAGGCGGUUAUAC